CAUAGGUUAAUGAGGCGAACCGGGGGAACUGAAACAUCUAAGUACCCCGAGGAAAAGAAAUCAACCGAGAUUCCCCCAGUAGCGGCGAGCGAACGGGGAGGAGCCCAGAGCCUGAAUCAGUGUGUGUGUUAGUGGAAGCGUCUGGAAAGGCGCGCGAUACAGGGUGACAGCCCCGUACACAAAAAUGCACAUGCUGUGAGCUCGAUGAGUAGGGCGGGACACGUGGUAUCCUGUCUGAAUAUGGGGGGACCAUCCUCCAAGGCUAAAUACUCCUGACUGACCGAUAGUGAACCAGUACCGUGAGGGAAAGGCGAAAAGAACCCCGGCGAGGGGAGUGAAAAAGAACCUGAAACCGUGUACGUACAAGCAGUGGGAGCCUCUUAAUGGGGUGACUGCGUACCUUUUGUAUAAUGGGUCAGCGACUUAUAUUCUGUAGCAAGGUUAACCGAAUAGGGGAGCCGAAGGGAAACCGAGUCUUAACUGGGCGUUAAGUUGCAGGGUAUAGACCCGAAACCCGGUGAUCUAGCCAUGGGCAGGUUGAAGGUUGGGUAACACUAACUGGAGGACCGAACCGACUAAUGUUGAAAAAUUAGCGGAUGACUUGUGGCUGGGGGUGAAAGGCCAAUCAAACCGGGAGAUAGCUGGUUCUCCCCGAAAGCUAUUUAGGUAGCGCCUCGUGAAUUCAUCUCCGGGGGUAGAGCACUGUUUCGGCAAGGGGGUCAUCCCGACUUACCAACCCGAUGCAAACUGCGAAUACCGGAGAAUGUUAUCACGGGAGACACACGGCGGGUGCUAACGUCCGUCGUGAAGAGGGAAACAACCCAGACCGCCAGCUAAGGUCCCAAAGUCAUGGUUAAGUGGGAAACGAUGUGGGAAGGCCCAGACAGCCAGGAUGUUGGCUUAGAAGCAGCCAUCAUUUAAAGAAAGCGUAAUAGCUCACUGGUCGAGUCGGCCUGCGCGGAAGAUGUAACGGGGCUAAACCAUGCACCGAAGCUGCGGCAGCGACACUAUGUGUUGUUGGGUAGGGGAGCGUUCUGUAAGCCUGUGAAGGUGGCCUGUGAGGGUUGCUGGAGGUAUCAGAAGUGCGAAUGCUGACAUAAGUAACGAUAAAGCGGGUGAAAAGCCCGCUCGCCGGAAGACCAAGGGUUCCUGUCCAACGUUAAUCGGGGCAGGGUGAGUCGACCCCUAAGGCGAGGCCGAAAGGCGUAGUCGAUGGGAAACAGGUUAAUAUUCCUGUACUUGGUGUUACUGCGAAGGGGGGACGGAGAAGGCUAUGUUGGCCGGGCGACGGUUGUCCCGGUUUAAGCGUGUAGGCUGGUUUUCCAGGCAAAUCCGGAAAACCAAGGCUGAGGCGUGAUGACGAGGCACUACGGUGCUGAAGUGACAAAUGCCCUGCUUCCAGGAAAAGCCUCUAAGCAUCAGGUAACAUCAAAUCGUACCCCAAACCGACACAGGUGGUCAGGUAGAGAAUACCAAGGCGCUUGAGAGAACUCGGGUGAAGGAACUAGGCAAAAUGGUGCCGUAACUUCGGGAGAAGGCACGCUGAUAUGUAGGUGAAGCGACUUGCUCGUGGAGCUGAAAUCAGUCGAAGAUACCAGCUGGCUGCAACUGUUUAUUAAAAACACAGCACUGUGCAAACACGAAAGUGGACGUAUACGGUGUGACGCCUGCCCGGUGCCGGAAGGUUAAUUGAUGGGGUUAGCGGUAACGCGAAGCUCUUGAUCGAAGCCCCGGUAAACGGCGGCCGUAACUAUAACGGUCCUAAGGUAGCGAAAUUCCUUGUCGGGUAAGUUCCGACCUGCACGAAUGGCGUAAUGAUGGCCAGGCUGUCUCCACCCGAGACUCAGUGAAAUUGAACUCGCUGUGAAGAUGCAGUGUACCCGCGGCAAGACGGAAAGACCCCGUGAACCUUUACUAUAGCUUGACACUGAACAUUGAGCCUUGAUGUGUAGGAUAGGUGGGAGGCUUUGAAGUGUGGACGCCAGUCUGCAUGGAGCCGACCUUGAAAUACCACCCUUUAAUGUUUGAUGUUCUAACGUUGGCCCCUAAUCGGGGUUGCGGACAGUGUCUGGUGGGUAGUUUGACUGGGGCGGUCUCCUCCUAAAGAGUAACGGAGGAGCACGAAGGUUGGCUAAUCCUGGUCGGACAUCAGGAGGUUAGUGCAAUGGCAUAAGCCAGCUUGACUGCGAGCGUGACGGCGCGAGCAGGUGCGAAAGCAGGUCAUAGUGAUCCGGUGGUUCUGAAUGGAAGGGCCAUCGCUCAACGGAUAAAAGGUACUCCGGGGAUAACAGGCUGAUACCGCCCAAGAGUUCAUAUCGACGGCGGUGUUUGGCACCUCGAUGUCGGCUCAUCACAUCCUGGGGCUGAAGUAGGUCCCAAGGGUAUGGCUGUUCGCCAUUUAAAGUGGUACGCGAGCUGGGUUUAGAACGUCGUGAGACAGUUCGGUCCCUAUCUGCCGUGGGCGCUGGAGAACUGAGGGGGGCUGCUCCUAGUACGAGAGGACCGGAGUGGACGCAUCACUGGUGUUCGGGUUGUCAUGCCAAUGGCACUGCCCGGUAGCUAAAUGCGGAAGAGAUAAGUGCUGAAAGCAUCUAAGCACGAAACUUGCCCCGAGAUGAGUUCUCCCUGAGACUUAGAGUCUCCUGAAGGAACGUUGAAGACGACGACGUUGAUAGGCCGGGUGUGUAAGCGCAGCGAUGCGUUGAGCUAACCGGUACUAAUGAACCGUGAGGCUUAACCUUACAACGCCGAAG
rnacentral:rRNA from 1 species